CAGCCCCUCGAGUGGUGGGGAUGAUUAUUUGGCCUAAAGCGUCCGUAGCCUGCCGGGUAAGUUUCCCGUUAAAUCCAGCGUCUCAAGCGUUGGACUGCGGGAAAUACUGCCUGGCUAGAGAGUGGGAGAGGUCAGCGGUAUUCUGGGGGUAGGGGCGAAAUCCUUUGAUCCCCGGAGGACCACCAGUGGCGAAGGCUGCUGACUAGAACACGUCUGACGGUCAGGGACGAAAGCUGGGGUAGCGAACCGGAUUAGAGACCCGAGUAGUCC
rnacentral:rRNA from 1 species